UUUUGUCUCAAAGAAUUUAUUUCAUGAGUGAAAGAAACCGCUUGUGACAAUUUCGUCAACAGUUGUAAGGAAGUGUUUAACUCUUGUACGGUAAGUGAACCCUUUACAUUUUUAUUUUUGCAUGCAUUUAUGAAGCGUAAUACGUACGCGAACAUAUUUAUUAAAGUGCUUAAUUUAGAAUAUUUGUUAAAAUCUACCACCGUAGGGGAAUGAUUAACUUUUAUAUUUAAGUUUGUUUUUGUUUCAGGUAUGUCAUCUUCAAUGGACGUCAUUUCCGGCCAUGCAUUAUCUCCUUGAAGAAGAAAGGCAGGCCCAGUCCACCAGAGAGUAUUCCCAUUUAAUUCCUGACACUUGAUACCCCUUGAUGCUAGAUCCGCCGGAUUGUGGUCGGUAGUGAUAAACGAUGACUGACUACAAUUGUCCAAAACAGCACGCGCGCGGACUGUAUUAUAUGGACCAACUAUGUCUACGAUUGCCGUGCACAACAAUACUUCCCCGCACAAAGCAGCAUUAACACGCACACAAGGAUUAGAUGGUGCACGGACCCCUGCGGCAACGAGACUGGUGAUGACCCGGCCGGAAGCAGUUAACACACAAUUUCAACUGCCUCACAGUACUUAACCUUGACUCUGGGUUCAUUACUUUAAAAUUAGGAC